CCUAUUUCUCAGUCUCUGUCUCUCCCUCAAACGCAAACGUAUCUCUCUCUGUCGUUCCCCCCACUCCUCUUCUACCUGUGGCUCUGCUACCCCAGACAGAUUCUAUUCUACAAAAAAAACAGAACCGCCGCAUCCAGAAAGAAAAACAUAGAACCGCGAAACGCCGAGACAGAGAUAGCAAUUUGAUUUUGAGGGUCCUUCACCAUUCUCUUUGAUUUUCGGGUUGUGGCCUACUUCCUCUCAAAAAAGAUGAAGUGGAAUACUCUAAUUUCAUCACAGCAAAGACCCCAGCUUCUUUUCCAAUUUCCUCCUUCAGUAACCCAUGGAUUAUUUUCUGCUUUCUGUUAUGCACAGCGAAAGACCAAAGCUAUAUAGUUUAGAAGCUGUCUGCAAAUUCCAGCAAUAGCAAAGUGAAAAGGGAAAAGAAAGCUAUGAGUAAUGGACACAGAUAUGAGUUAUUAAAAUACUAAACAAUUGUAUCUUUUUGGUG